rnacentral:rRNA from 1 species
CCCUUAGAUGUCCUGGGCCGCACGCGUGCUACACUGACGCAUACAGCGAGUACUUCCCCGGCUCCGUGAGGCAGCCGGUAAUCAGCAAUAUGCGUCGUGAUGGGGAUAGAUCUUUGGAAUUCUGGAUCUUGAACGAGGAAUUCCUAGUAAACGCAAGUCAUCAGCUUGCAUUGAUUACGUCCCUGCCCUUUGUACACACCGCCCGUCGCACCUACCGAUUGAAUGACUCGGUGAAAAAUUGGGACUGUGAUUGAAAUUGCUUCAUUGCGAAUUUAAUCAUGGAAACUUUCUUUAACCUAGGCAUUUAGAGGAAGGUGAAGUCGUAACA